rnacentral:lncRNA from 1 species
CAUAACCAACUACUGAGUUUUGGAGUGAUGGGGUUAUUCUUUAUAUUCUAUUGAUUUGGUACAUUUGACAUCAUUUUAAGGUAAUAUAAUAGCAAAAUAUGUUAACAUUUACGUUCCAAAUUUGUUGAAGCUAUUUGUUCCAUGAGAUGUGAAACUUUUUGGUUACUUCAUAAUUUGAUUCAUUUACUUUCUACACAAUGC